AUAUAAUACCUUAUAUAUGAUAUAUCCUAUAUAAUACCUUAUAUAUGAUAUAUUAUAUCCUAUAUAAUACAUUAUAUAUGAUAUAUCAAUCAUAUAUGAUAUAUUAUAUGUGAUAUAUAUGAUAUAUGAUAUAUGUGAUAUAUGAUAUAUAUGAUAUAUGACAUGUAAUAUAUGAUAUAUAAUAUAUAAUAUUAUAUAUCAUGUUAUGUAUAAUAUAUAUCAUACAUUAUAUAUUAUAUAUGAUGUAUAUGAUAUACAACAUAUGAUAUAUAAUAUAUAAUAUAUUAUAAUGUAUAUAUCUAUUAUAUAUUAUAUAUUAUAUAUAUGAUCAUAUAUUAGAUAUGAUCAUAUAUAAUAUAUAAUCAUAUUAUAUAUUAUAUAUGUUUGCAUAAACAAAUAAAGAAAACCUACACUUGACUUUGUCUCCCUGCUCUUUAACAUUUUGUUGUUUCCAUUUACAUCUUAUUGUAUUGUCUAUGUCUUGAAAAGUUGUUCUAGUUAUUAUUUUUGACUGGUUCAUCAUUUAGCCUUUUUAGUUCAGGAAAGAGUUGUUUACACACCACAGUUAGAGUGUUGUACAUUCUGUGUUUUCCUGGAUACUUACUAUUACAGUGAGUUUUGUACCUUCAGAUGAUUUCUUAUCCUUGGCUGUUUUCAUGUGGUAUUGGGCCAGCAGGUCCACAGAGGUGAAGAAUUGAGGUUUGAAAACCUCUGACUAGAUUUCAGAAGAUGUAUGAAUAUGCCUGCCUAUCCAGGAAUAUGUAUGCUACUAAGGGAGCCCUCACGGAGAACCGCUGCUAGGGUAGUGCAGGAGGGAAAUGUGAGGUUGGGUCCCCAAACAGAGUCCCCACUAAGACACUGCUUACUGGAGCGGUGA
rnacentral:lncRNA from 1 species